UGUGAUUUGUUCUGUCAGCUGGUGACAAAGCUUUAUUGGUGAAUAAAAUGUAAACUGUUUAAAAUCACAGUAUAUAUUUUUUUAAGCUAAAGAUUGCAGCAAUUGAACCCUUAUGAUUCUAAUUCCAAUAUUUAAACUAAUUCCACAUUCUCU